UAUCGAUCACGUGACCUUUAGAGUAUUUAUACAAUUUUUGCUUGGGAUAACAGAUGAUAACAUUGUGGAUGUGGGACACUACAGAAAUUUAUACACUACAACUUAUGUCUUUAGCCCUGAUGCCGUUGAUUUACCUGUAUUAGAACAUUCAACUCCAGCAUCCUCACUGUGCCCGCAAUUAUGGCUUCCCCAUCCGUUAUGUGAACAUGUGCUCAAAUUUUUUUCACUUCCCUUACAAUGCACAUCGUCUAACCAAAUCUGUCCAGAACCAUGAGGAACUUUAAGCCCUCCAAGAGCUGCAACAGUAUUCAGGUAACCAAGUUGACGACAUACAACUCUAGCGUCUUUUAUAUCCCAACCAUCAUCACAGAUUGUUCCCCAUUGACCUGCAUAGAACACUUCAACACGACCAGUACCAUUUGUACUCGCCGGCCCUUGCAACCUGAGUGAUAUCGCUGUAAUAAAUUAAAAGAGUAAGUGAGUCAUAAUUUUCCCCUGGGCGAAAAUAUAUUUUUACAAUCCUGUAAAAUUAUAGAAGAUAAAACGUAUUUAUGAGGAGGAUUACGAGAAGAAU